rnacentral:rRNA from 1 species
CUACGGGUCGCUCCAGUGGGGAAUAUUGCACAAUGGGCGCAAGCCUGAUGCAGCCAUGCCGCGUGUAUGAAGAAGGCCUUCGGGUUGUAAAGUACUUUCAGCGGGGAGGAAGGGAGUAAAGUUAAUACCUUUGCUCAUUGACGUUACCCGCAGAAGAAGCACCGGCUAACUCCGUGCCAGCAGCCGCGGUAAUACGGAGGGUGCAAGCGUUAAUCGGAAUUACUGGGCGUAAAGCGCACGCAGGCGGUUUGUUAAGUCAGAUGUGAAAUCCCCGGGCUCAACCUGGGAACUGCAUCUGGAUACUGGCAAGCUUGAGUCUCGGAGAGGGGGGUAGAAUUCCAGGUGUAGCGGUGAAAUGCGUAGAGAUCUGGAGGAAUACCGGUGGCGAAGGCGGCCCCCUGGACGAAGACUGACGCUCAGGUGCGAAAGCGUGGGGAGCAAACAGGAUUAGAUACCCGCGUAGUC